CAUGGUUGUCGUCAGCUCGUGUCGUGAGAUGCUGGGUUAAGUCCCGCAACGAGCGCAACCUCUAUUGUUAGUUGCCAUCAUUCAGUUGGGCACUCUAGCGAGACUGCCGGUAAUAAACCGGAGGAAGGUGGGGAUGACGUCAAAUCAUCAUGCCCCUUAUGACCUGGGCUACACACGUGCUACAAUGGUUGGUACAACGAGUUGCGAGUCGGUGACGGCGAGCUAAUCUCUUAAAGCCAAUCUCAGUUCGGAUUGUAGGCUGCAACUCGCCUACAUGAAGUCGGAAUCGCUAGUAAUCGCGGAUCAGCACGCCGCGGUGAAUACGUUCCCGGGCCUU
rnacentral:rRNA from 1 species